rnacentral:rRNA from 1 species
AUUGAACGCUGGCGGCAGGCUUAACACAUGCAAGUCGAGCGAGCGGCGGACGGGUGAGUAAUGUCUGGGAAACUGCCUGAUGGAGGGGGAUAACUACUGGAAACGGUAGCUAAUACCGCAUACCAUCAGAUGUGCCCAGAUGGGAUUAGCUAGUGGGUGGGGUAAUGGCUCACCUAGGCAACGAUCCCUAGCCGUUCUGAGAGGGUGACCGGCCAAACGGGAACUGGAACACGGUCCGGACACUUACGGGAGGAAGCAGUGGGGAAUAUUGCACAAUGGGCGAAAGCCUGAUGCAGACAGGCGGCGUGUGUGAAGAAGGCCUUCGGGUUGUAAAGCACUUUAAGCGAGGAGGCGUUACUCGAAGAAGAAGCAACGGCUAACUCCGUGCCAGCAGCCGCGGUAAUAC